AGAGUCCUGUAGGCCAAGGAGAUGGAUGGCCUCUGACACUGUCGUGAAGAACCUGUGCACCGUUCUUCCUCCCUACGGAUCCUGCGUGAGGUGGGGAAGGUCACGCAGGACUCAGCCUUGGUCAGAUACAUCAGCUAUGGAUGGUGUUGGGACUGGCAGUUUAUAUGCCCUGUGGGAUGCUGAGGACGUCGGCAUCAGGAGAUCAGCUGGUGAUUCACUCUAUUUCUCAGAUCACUGGAUGCAAAAAUGCACCUUGCUCAUGGCUUGUCCUCCAUAAAUGAAGCUGUUCUUCUGCUGUCUUCUAUUGCUGCUGUUGGGCCUUGUUACACUAAUCAUAGAAUCCUUAAGGCUGGAAAACACCUCUAAGAUUAUCAAGUCCAAACGUUGACCCACUCCCACCGUGCCCACUGACCACAUCCCUC
ensembl:lncRNA